UACGUAGGGUGCAAGCGUUAAUCGGAAUUACUGGGCAUAAAGCGUGCGCAGGCGGUUUUGUAAGUCUGUCGUGAAAUCCCCGGGCUCAACCUGGGAAUUGCGAUGGAGACUGCAAGGCUAGAAUCUGGCAGAGGGGGGUAGAAUUCCACGUGUAGCAGUGAAAUGCGUAGAGAUGUGGAGGAACACCGAUGGCGAAGGCAGCCCCCUGGGUCAAGAUUGACGCUCAUGCACGAAAGCGUGGGGAGCAAACAGG
rnacentral:rRNA from 1 species